CCCAGGUCAUUGCCAAGCUCAAGGCAGACUGAACCAGACUCCUCCUGAUCACCCCAGCAUGGCCAAGGCAGCACGGAUUCUCAGAUCUCUUUGCUCUGUUGGUUCAGCCUCCCCUGUCACAGCCUGAGAAGGAGUGUUUUCUCCUCCAACUGCUGCAGCACAACCCAGAACAUAUCUUCCUUCAUCUGUCUCGGCCAUUUUCUUAUCUUGCGCAGACACUCUGCUGCUGUUGGGGGGUUGGUUCUCAAGGUCAAGUCUGGAGAGGCAUAAUUAACAAUAAAUAGAAGUUCUGUUGCAACUACACACAGAGCAUUGAAGAAGUAACAUUAAUACACUGCUGGUAACAUACCUACCACUUUCUUGGUGACCCUAGGCAACCACCCAUGAGGCAGAAGAUCCCAAGAAUGGAGGUGGUCACUAUGGAAGAUAUCUCACUCCUGAGCGUAAGCAGGGAAGCAAGGGUACAUCUGCUACACACUUGCAGCUUCCACCCUGGUCCCUAUGUUGCUCGCCUGCGUGCAGCUUUCGUCCCUACCCAAGUGAUUGAGAGUCAUUUUCCUAUGCCACUCUUCAGUGGGGCAAGGAACAAAACAGCCCUGCCAGGAACAUUCGGCAAAGGAUCGCUGAAUACUUCCAGGAAAGCAUCCUAGAGAGCAGUAUGGAGGAUUCCUGUGAAAUCUCAGAGUGCAUCAACUCCCUGUUCCGCCAUGCUGCCUAGCUGUGUGGGAAAAUGCCCAGCACACAGAACAAAGCCAGCCUUCUACAUUUCUCUGCCUCCAACCUGCUUCAGAACUUCACAGAGCAAAACCACUUGCCAGGGGUCUCCUCUCCUGCUUCUGGCUUGCCAGAGAGUGACUGCAGAGACUGGCUGGACACCUUUGGAGUGGAGAACAGCUCCUGACUAGAUGCAUCAUGGGGCUCCACAUCUUCUUCAGCCUCCACCUCUUCAUAAAUUACUUCCUCAUCUGGGUUAGGUCCACUUUCCACUGGCUCAGACCCGCUGAAGUAUCCAUGUUGCUCUUUGCAGUGGAGGUGGGGUCACCACCUAGGAUAGUGUCCAACUCCUUAUAAAAACAGCAGGUGUGGGGCACAGCCGUAAAGCGACGGUUUGCCUCCCUCACCUAUGGUACAUACUCCUCAGCUCCUUCACCUUUGCUCUGUAUUGCAGCAUGUCCUGGUUAUAUCCCUUUUCAUGCAAGCUGUGCACAAUCUGGUCAUAGGUAUUGAAAUUCCUAUGGCUGUCGUGCAGCUGGAACAGGACGGCCUCCUCUUCCCAAACACUACAGAUUCAGUAGCUCCACAGUGGUCCAAGCAGGAGAUCAUUUGCUGAGUGGAGCCACCAUGGUCAGCUGGGAAUAUGCAAUGUGAGCUCAGCACACUGAGCAAAUAGGAAGGGAGAUUUCAAAACUUCUGGAGCUUUAAAGGGAGAGGUGUGGAAAGUGGUUUACCUGGUGUCAGGGCAGCAGAGUUGAAAAUGCUGACCAGAGUGGUCAGGAUGGGCAUUGUGGGACACAGAAGCCAUUAACAGCUCUAAAAUCAAACACAGUGUCUACGCUGGUACUACAGUGCUACAACCUUGGCACAAAAAGCCUUAUGACUCUUAUCAGGGUGAUUUUAUUACAGCAUUGCAACUGAGGAGUUUCAGGA